GAUCCCGGAGGCAAAGGAGAUGAUCUCAUUCUUGUGCUGGCAGGUGUGGACACCGGGUAGGGAGACGCGGCAGCUAGGCCGAGCCCUGACUGCACCUGCGCGGCCGCCGCGGGAGCCAGGUGCCCGCGCCCUGUCGCCGGGUCGCCCGGCAGGAAGUGGCUGCGGCUGCGGGGGAGCGGCGGGCGGGGAGGCGCGGCGCCCGAGCUCCAGCGCGCAGAGCCGGUCCUCAUGGCGGCGCGGGUGCCCGCGGGCCCCGAGGACGACGCCUCGGCCGUCCUGGACGAGCUGUCUCAGAACUUCACGUACUGGGCGCCGGGCCCGGGCAACGGCUCGUUGUCGAGCGCCUGGUACCGCAGAAACCAGGUUCACCUUUUUGGAGUUUUGCUGGCUAUUUUAGGAAACUUGGUGAUCAGCAUUUCCCUAAAUAUCCAGAAAUAUUCUCAUCUUCAUUUGGCCCAGAGAGAGCAGCCAAAGCCAUACUUUAAGAGUGUGCUUUGGUGGAGUGGAGCCCUGCUGAUGGCCAUAGGAGAGGUGGGCAAUUUCGCAGCCUAUGGAGUGGCCCCCAUCACUUCCAUCGCACCAUUGGGCUGUAUGUCGGUUACAGGUAGUGCCAUAAUUUCUGUUAUAUUCCUAAAAGAAAAUUUGAGAGCCUCAGAUUUACUAGGUAUGACACUGGCAUUUGCAGGAACAUAUUUAUUGGUGAAUUUUGCUCCAAAUAUGACCCAGGACAUCUCAGCAAGAACAGUACAGUAUUACUUUGUUGGCUGGCAGUUUCUGGUCUAUGUGAUUUUAGAAAUCCUAGUUUUCUGCAUCCUUCUGUAUUUCCAUAAAAGGAAAGGAAUGAGGCACAUUGUGAUCCUGCUCACCCUGGUGGCACUCCUUGCCUCCUUGACUGUGAUUUCAGUGAAAGCUGUCUCAGGCAUGAUCACUCUCUCUGUGACGGGUAAAAUGCAGCUAACUUACGCCAUCUUCUAUAUCAUGCUUGUCAUCAUGAUCGCCUCCUGUGUUUUCCAAGUCAAGUUCCUGAAUCAAGCCACAAAGCUCUACACGAUGACCACAGUGGUUCCAGUCAACCAUGUUUUCUUCACAGCCAGUGCCAUCGUCGCAGGUAUCGUGUUUUACCAGGAGUUCCUUGGUGCUGCCCUUCUCACUGUGUUUAUAUAUCUCUUUGGGUGCUUUCUCUCAUUCCUUGGAGUAUUUUUGGUGACGAGAAAUAGAGAAAAUGACCAUCUACAACAGUCUUUUAUUGAUUUUGGGAAUAUUCCUGGCACACAACACAUCCAGGAAUAGUGACUGCACAUGCUUGGCCCCUUUGAAGCCUGCCUCUGGGAUGCCAAUUUAAUAGAAAUAUGAAGGCUAUGAACACAGCAUGUUUGGUGCAUGCAUGCAUACAGAAGCCAUGGAUGGUACCAGGAGUCCUCCUUGAUCGUCCUUAUUCAUUGAGGCAAAGUCUCUCAGUUUAACCCAAGACUCAUGGACUGGGCUAGUCUGGCUCUGCAGCUUGCUGUGGGGUGUCCCCAUCUCUGCCUUCCAAGUACUAGAAUUACAGGUGAGCCAUCAUGACAACCCAACAUUUACAUGGGAUCUGGGGAUCUGAACUCUGGUUCUCACAUUUGUACAGCAGGAGCUUUAACCACGGAGCAAUCUCCCUGGCCCUGAUAAUUAAGGUCCUGUAGAGGGAGAUCAACCUGAAUUACUUGGGUGGCCCCUAAAGUGGGUAUCCUUUAAAAAGAUAGAAGAUGGGAAAACUCAGACUUAGUCUCUUGAAAAUGGAGGCAGAAAUGAGUCUUGAAAUCACAACGAAAAUACCUGGAGCCACCAGAACCUAGAAGAAAUCAAGGAUGACUCUUUUAGGGACUUCAUAGGGAGCACUGCCCUGCUGACUAUCAAGCCAUCAAGCAUGUGAUAAUUUGUUGCAGUGACCUAGAAAAUGAAUAUACAGAUCAACAUGGUCUUUGAAGAACCAGGAAUUGGAGAAAGCCCCACCAAAACAAAGAGAGACGAGUAACAGCUCAAACAAGCUCGGUAUAUGCCUGUCACGUGGGGAGGUCAGCUCCAAAGGCCUUGAGUGGCUGGAUCGGGUAUAUACUAGACUUGAGAAGAAAAUGGUGGCGUUAGGUAUGGCUUCAUAUCUAAGAAUGCAACAUGACCAUACAUAUUGUAUUAGAACUUUCCUGGCUGAGAGUUGGCCCAGAUAGUCAAAUGCUUGUCACACAAACUGGAGGACCUGAGUUCAAUCUACCAGCCAAUUAACUCCAGGAUCAGUGUGAUAUCCUGACUCCCCAAAAUUGAAAAGGAUACUUAAUGUUCACCUCUGGCCUACACAGCAUCCACAGAUAUAAACAUUCACACACAUAAAAAAAUAAUAAUAAAUAACUAAAAAGGACCACAUUAGUCACUUUCUGGUUGGUAGCGUCAAGUCCAUGGCAGAAACAACCUAAGGAAAAGUUGGCUUGGUUCACAGUUUCACAAGUUUUGGUCCAGCACAAAGGGGAAGGCAUGGUGGUGGGGGCAGCUCCCCCUGUAGAGCUUCCAGACAUGGAAGCCGAGGGCAGGUCAGAACCAGGCACAAGGGGAACUUUCUACUUCUGACAGCCAAGCCUCACUUCUGAAAGCCUCCACAGCCUUCAAAGUAGAUGUUCCAAACGUGGGCCUAGGAGGCCAUUUCUGACGAAAACCAUAAAGACCUUGUCAGCAUCUUCAGGAAUUCCCUCACAAAACUGAGACUUCCCAUCAUCCUUCAGUCUUCUCUGUCUGUGUGAGAUGAGGAUUUGAUUCCAAGCGUGCAUUUGCAGCCCAUCUUUUCUUACUGGAAACGAGCAGCUGUGGCUGGACCCCAGGCUAAACAGUGACUUCCGAGAUGGCCCUGGGGAACAUGGGAGGCAUGGGUGCAGUCACAGGUGAGGAGUCCAUGGUGCCACAGCACGAAGGAGGAAAGGUCAGCAGAGGACCUUGGCUGAAGUUAGCGAGGAGAGAGGAUGAAACCAAAGAGCUCAGAGCUGUCAGUUGAGAAGGAGGAAAAAGAAGAGAGUCAGAGACUGUAAGUGUUAGGGUUAGGGACUGGGGACAACGGUGUGUUUCAGGGAGCUACUGGGGACCUAGUCUGGCUCUGAGAGCCACAGGAGCUCAGUCCCUCACUUCAGAGGUGCUUACAAUACCCACUCAGCCCCCAGCCAGUCAGGGGACCACAGACCCCCAAAAGGCCUUGAUGUUAAGUGUGGCUUCUGGCUCCAUAAAAGUGGGCAUUGUCUCAGACUAUAGUGCAAACCGGUCAGUGGGAAUCGACACCAGAGGAAGCAGAAUUUCAGGCAAGAAAGAAAAGAUGAGCCUGUGUGCGUGACAAGAAAGCCUUGGGAAACUGCCUGGCUUUAUUUUAAUGAACACUACUUUGUUAGUUUUUAAAGGCUCAGAGUCACUCAUGUAUUCAUCUAAUGACGGCUUAGGUAUGGCUAAGCAAAAAAGCGGGUACAGAAAGAGGUGCUGAGGAAACGGGGCAGAAGGGAGCCUCUUCAAAGUGGAAAGAUCACGGUCACAAAAGCAAGCAAAACCAGGGUGCAACAGCAAAAACUUGCCUCUAUUCCGUCCACAGGGGAGUGCACAGCUGGGUGGGUGGGUCAGCGCAAACCAGAGGAAUGAGCGAAUAAGAGUGAGAAGAGACCCUUCAGGUAGUGAGGCCACCACCCACCC